rnacentral:lncRNA from 1 species
CGCUGCACAUUUUCUGUCUGUUCUGUGGAAUGGCUAACACUAUGGUUACCCUACGGCGCCCAGAGUUGGGCUCUCUCGCUUGGGAUGCUGUCACUAACCAACGACUCUUUCUCCAGACUGUGUCUUCCAAGUUGGGACCAUCUCUGGGGACUAAUAGGACAUCCACCUCUGGACCCCCAGAAACCAGACUGAAGCCCUCUAACCGAGAAACCCGACCUACAGGUAGUCUGGGUCCACUGGGAGGCCGAGCGGUUCAGCCGGCUGGUAUUCCAAGGAUGCGUAGCACAGACAAGUCCGCAGUACCCUGCAGCCCCACGUCUGUUUCCAGCCCUUCUUGUAAGGGUCCUCAGAAAGCUGCCUCUUCCAAACUGCCUGUCAAAGGCCUACCCACAAGCCCCAGCUCCUCAUCACUGGGAAGUACAAUCAGCGAAAGCAACAAUAUUGCUGUAAACAAAGUUCCUGCUGAAGGGAUAAAGAGUGAGGAUAAGUCUAUCAAACAACCACCGGCAUCCCAGAUUCAAGGAAAGUCUCUAGUUAGCAAACCUGUAUCAGGUCACCGCAGCAGAGCAAGCUCCACACUGUCUAAACCAGUGGCAGGUGAGAGAAACAUGCAUGUUGAGUUUAGUACCUUCUAAUCUCACUCAUUCUCUCUAACGCCCACACUUACUUUCAUAUACGUAUCAGUCCACAUUCAUCAUUUAUUAUUUACACAUCAAAACAGCCUCAAAGUGAAGCUCACUGUCCUGUCGUCAGAUCUUCUAUAAUCAGUGGGAGAUCUCUGAUUGUCUUAAGCUAAUGACACUGCAUGAUGUCAUUUUAGUUCAGAACCACAAUCUGAUUACUGCCAUACACACCCCU